rnacentral:rRNA from 1 species
CCCUUAGAUGUUCUGGGCCGCACGCGCGCUACACUGAUGCAUUCAACGAGUCUAAAACCUGGUCUGAUAGGGCUGGGUAAUCUUUUGAAAGUGCAUCGUGAUUGGGAUAGAUGAUUGCAAUUCUUCAUCUUCAACGAGGAAUGCCUAGUAAACGCAAGUCAUCAGCUUGCAUUGAUUACGUCCCUGCCCUUUGUACACACCGCCCGUCGCUCCUACCGAUUGAAUGAUCCGAUGAAUACCAUGGAUUGAGAGUACGAAUGGGUUCGCUCAUUUCUGCUACUCGAGAAGUGGAGUAAAUCUUAUCAUUUAGAGGAAGGAGAAGUCGUAACA